rnacentral:rRNA from 1 species
AUUGAACGCUGGCGGCAGGCCUAACACAUGCAAGUCGAACGAGUGGCGGACGGGUGAGUAAUGUCUGGGAAACUGCCUGAUGGAGGGGGAUAACUACUGGAAACGGUAGCUAAUACCGCAUACCAUCGGAUGUGCCCAGAUGGGAUUAGCUUGUUGGUGGGGUAACGGCUCACCAAGGCGACGAUCCCUAGCUGGUCUGAGAGGAUGACCAGCGCCACUGGAACCUAGACACUGUCCAGACUCCUACGGGAGGCAGCAGUUGGGAAUAUGGCACAAUGGGCGCAAGCCGGAUGCAGCCAUGCCGGGUGUAUGAAGAAGGCCUUCGGGUUGUAAAGGUCUUUCAGCGGGGAGGCGUUACCCGCAGAAGAAGCACCGGCUAACUCCGUGCCAGCAGCCGCGGUAAUAC